rnacentral:rRNA from 1 species
UACGUAGGGUGCAGGCGUUAAUCGGAAUUACUGGGCGUAAAGCGUGCGCAGGCGGCUUCUUAAGUCAGAUGUGAAAUCCCCGGGCUCAACUUGGGAACUGCGUUUGAAACUGGGAAGCUAGAGUGUGGCAGAGGGGGGUGGAAUUCCACGUGUAGCAGUGAAAUGCGUAGAUAUGUGGAGGAACACCGAUGGCGAAGGCAGCCCCCUGGGCCCGCACUGACGCUCAUGCACGAAAGCGUGGGGAGCAAACAGG